UACAGAGGGUGCGAGCGUUGUUCGGAAUUAUUGGGCGUAAAGCGCUUGUAGGCGGCACGUCAAGUCGCGUGUGAAAUCCCCAGGCUUAACCUGGGAAGUGCGCGCGAAACUGACGAGCUUGAGUGCCGGAGAGGGUCGCGGAAUUCCCGGUGUAGAGGUGAAAAUUCGUAGAUAUCGGGAGGAACACCAGUGGCGAAGGCGGCGACCUGGACGGACACUGACGCUGAGACGGCGAAAGCGUGGGGAGCAAACAGGGAUUAAGAA
rnacentral:rRNA from 1 species